rnacentral:rRNA from 1 species
UACGUAGGUGGCAAGCGUUGUCCGGAUUUACUGGGCGUAAAGGGCGUGCAGGCGGUCUGUUAAGUCUAGGGUGAAAGCUCCCGGCUCAACUGGGAGAGGUCCUUGGAUACUGGCGGACUUGAGGGAGGCAGAGGAAAGUGGAAUUCCCGGUGUAGUGGUGAUAAGCGUAGAUAUCGGGAGGAACACCAGUGGCGAAGGCGGCUUUCUGGGCCUUACCUGACGCUGAGACGCGAAAGCGUGGGGAGCGAACCGG